rnacentral:rRNA from 1 species
AUUGAACGCUGGCGGCAUGCUUUACACAUGCAAGUCGAACGGCAGCGCGGGCUUCGGCCUGGCGGCGAGUGGAACGGGUGAGUAAUGCAUCGGAACGUGCCCAGUAGUGGGGGAUAGCCCGGCGAAAGCCGGAUUAAUACCGCAUACGACCUGAGGGUGAAAGCGGGGGACCGAAAGGCCUCGCGCUAUUGGAGCGGCCGAUGUCGGAUUAGCUAGUUGGUGGGGUAAAGGCUUACCAAGGCGACGAUCCGUAGCUGGUCUGAGAGGACGACCAGCCACACUGGGACUGAGACACGGCCCAGACUCCUACGGGAGGCAGCAGUGGGGAAUUUUGGACAAUGGGGGCAACCCUGAUCCAGCCAUGCCGCGUGCGGGAAGAAGGCCUUCGGGUUGUAAACCGCUUUUGUUCGGGAAGAAAUCCUCUGGGCUAAUACCCCGGGGGGAUGACGGUACCGGAAGAAUAAGCACCGGCUAACUACGUG